rnacentral:rRNA from 1 species
GACGAACAACGGCGGCGUGCCUAAUACAUGCAAGUAGAACGCAGUUGCGAACGGGUGAGUAACUCGUAGGUAACUGCCCCAUAGCGGGGGGAAACUAUUGGAAACGUUAGCUAAUACCGCAUACUGUGGGAUGGACCUGCGUUGGAUUCGCUAGUUGGUGAGGUAAAGGCUCACCAAGGCGACGAUACAUAGCCGGCCUGAGAGGGGGGUCGGCCACACUGGGCCUGGGACACGGCCCAGACUCCCACGGGCGGCAGCAGUAGGGAAUCUGCGGCAAUUGACGGAAGUCUGACCGAGCAACGCGGCGUGAGUGAAGAAGGUUUUCGGGUCGUAUAGCUCUGUUGUUAGAGAAGCGGUAUCUAACCAGAAAGGGACGGCUAACUACGUGCCAGCAGCCGCGGUAAUUC